GGGGGUAUAACUCAGUGGUAGAGCAUUUGACUGUAGAUCGAGAGGUCUCCGGUUCAAACCGGGAUGUCCCUU
rnacentral:tRNA from 1 species